ACUGAAUAGAUACCCGGGUAGUCUUAGCCAUAAACGAUGAUCACUAGGUGUUGGGGGGAUUCCCUCGGUGCCGCAGCUAAACGCAUUAAGUGAUCCGCCUGGGGACUACGGCCGCAAGGUUGAAACUCAAAGGAAUUGGCGGGGGCCCGCACAAGCGGUGGAGCAUGUGGCUUAAUUCGAUGCAACGCGAAGAACCUUACCAGGGCUUGACAUGCUUCUGCAAGCCGCCGAAAAGUGGUCGCCUUCGAGGGUGAAGCACAGGUGGUGCAUGGCUGUCGUCAGCUCGUGUUGUGAAAUGUUGGGUUAAGUCCCGCAACGAGCGCAACCCUCAUUGUCUGUUACCAGCGGGUAAAGCCGGGAACUCUGACAAAACUGCCUCUGUAAAGAGGAGGAAGGUGGGGAUGACGUCAAGUCAUCAUGCCCCUUACGGCCCUGGGCUGCACACAUGCUACAAUGGCUAGUACAAACGAGCCGCAAGCACGCGAGUGUUAGCAAAUCUCAAAAACGCUAGUCUCAGUUCGG
rnacentral:rRNA from 1 species